AGCUUUGUACAGUGGCAGUAUCAUAGCCAAUGAGGUCCAACCGAGGCGUGAUUAUUGCUAAUUGAAAACUUUUCCCAAUACAUUUAGUUCUGGUAUUAAAUUACAUGGAUGUUUGUCCAGUACAUUCUAUGGGGACUACUUUAUGUGUUUCCUGUAC
rnacentral:snRNA from 1 species